UUCCCAAAAACAAAAUCUAGAUCUAGAGAGAACUCUCUUCUCUUUACUCAUUGAAGCUCUUCAAUCUAAAACUCUUUUGAAUCAACCAUUUAUCUCAUCUCAAAUUCAUAAAUAUGUCAUCACAAGGUCGUAAUAUGAAUGCAAACAUGGAUCCUCCUAUACGUAGACGGAACAAACAUUUGGAGUAUGGAAGAAGAAGUGGAUGAUUCUUAGGGAUGAUCCUAGAUAUGGUUUGGAAAUGCAAAAGAGAGUAAUUAUCGUCAUGAUGGGACUCCACAACUUUAUUAGAGUUUCGAAUUUUUCGGAUACAGAUUUCUUUGAAGAUUCUUCAAAAGUGUAUACAAAAAACGAGCAAAAUUAUUCAAAUGAACAAGAUGAGGUCGAGAGAGAAGAUAGACCAUAUAUGGCAAACAUACGAGACAAUAUUGCUGAUAUGUU